rnacentral:snRNA from 1 species
AUCGCUUCUCGGCCUUUUGGCUAAGAUCAAGUGUAGUAUCUGUUCUUAUCAGUUUAAUAUCUGAUACGUCCUCUAUCCGAGGACAAUAUAUUAAAUGGAUUUUUGGAACUAGGAGUUGGAAUAGGAGCUUGCUUUCACUGCUCAGAGUCGCAGUACAGCUCCUGAGACUCUGUCCCCA